UGGGGAAUCUUGCACAAUGGGCGAAAGCCUGAUGCAGCAACGCCGCGUGCGGGAAGACAGCCCUAGGGUUGUAAACCGCUUUCAGCAGGGAAGAAACUGACGGUACCUGCAGAAGAAGAUGCGGCCAACUACGUGCCAGCAGCCGCGGUGACACGUAGGCAUCAAGCGUUAUCCGGAUUUAUUGGGCGUAAAGAGCUCGUAGGCGGUUCGGUAAGUCGGGUGUGAAACUCUGGGCUCAACCCAGAGAGGCCACUCGAUACUGCUGUGACUAGAGUGCGGUAGGGGAGCGGGGAAUUCCUGGUGUAGCGGUGAAAUGCGCAGAUAUCAGGAGGAACACCAGUGGCGAAGGCGCCGCUCUGGGCCGUAACUGACGCUGAGGAGCGAAAAGCAUGGGUAGCAAACAGGAUUAGAUACCCUGGUAGUCCAUGCCGUAAACGUUGGGCACUAGGUGUGGGUCUCAACCGAACGAGAUCCGCGCCGUCGCUAACGCAUUAAGUGCCCGCCUGGGAGUACGGUCGCAAGACU
rnacentral:rRNA from 1 species